rnacentral:ncRNA from 1 species
AUCAGGGGUGCUGAGCGAAAGCAAGGCUGAGACGGAGCAAUCCGAACCCUUUCACCUGAUACGGGUAAUUCCGGCGUAGGGAGAUUGUU